rnacentral:miRNA from 1 species
UAUUGCACUUGACCCAGCCUGC